rnacentral:pre_miRNA from 1 species
UAUUUUUAGGGGAAUCGAAAGUUUCUGCUUUGUGGUUAAAAUCAUGUUUCAUAUCUUAUUUUAACCACAAAGCAGAAACUUUCGAUUCCCCUAAAAA